GCCCUGGUGUCUCAAAUGGUAAAGAAUCUGCCUGUAAUGCAGGAGACCCAGGUUUUAUCCCUGGGGCA
rnacentral:tRNA from 1 species